AGUGAACGCUGGCGGUAGGCCUAACACAUGCAAGUCGAACGGCAGCACAGUAAGAGCUUGCUCUUACGGGUGGCGAGUGGCGGACGGGUGAGGAAUACAUCGGAAUCUACUUUUUCGUGGGGGAUAACGUAGGGAAACUUACGCUAAUACCGCAUACGACCUACGGGUGAAAGCAGGGGAUCUUCGGACCUUGCGCGAUUGAAUGAGCCGAUGUCGGAUUAGCUAGUUGGCGGGGUAAAGGCCCACCAAGGCGACGAUCCGUAGCUGGUCUGAGAGGAUGAUCAGCCACACUGGAACUGAGACACGGUCCAGACUCCGACGGGAGGCAGCAGUGGGGAAUAUUGGACAAUGGGCGCAAGCCUGAUCCAGCCAUACCGCGUGGGUGAAGAAGGCCUUCGGGUUGUAAAGCCCUUUUGUUGGGAAAGAAAAGCAGCAGGUUAAGACCCCGCUGUUCUGACGGUACCCAAAGAAUAAGCACCGGCGAACUUCGG
rnacentral:rRNA from 1 species